UGCACAGUGGUGUAGUGGUUAGCACGUUUGCCUCACGGGUCUGGGUCUGGGGUUCAAGUCCGGCCGGUGCCA